AAAAGUCUGGCCAUCUCUACUGACUAGAGGACGUGGUAACCCAAUGAGAGAUGAGCAAAUUUGGAGCAAAUAGAUGAAGCUUAAAUCAGUCAGAUAUAGAAAAGUAUGAACUAUUUGGAGAUGAGGAUUACAACAUAAACCAAAACCAAGAAAGCUCUUCCAGUUCUGAAGAAUCUGAAAAUAAUAGUUUUUUUAUUAAAAACCAACUCUUAUUUGCAAAAUUAAGUAUUUAAAAGUUCUAUAGAAAUAUAUCAAUUUACCUACUAUCAUUCUGAUUUUAAAAGGUAUAUGGGUUGCUAUUAUAUAGUGUUUUUGGGUCCAAUUUAGAAACUUGUUAAUUUUUGCUUCUGUCAUCUGUUGUAAGUGGAUUUCUUCUGAUAGAAAUCCUAAAACACGUGAUAAACUAGCCUUUAAAAAUAAUAAGUACAGAAAAUAAUGAUCAUAUUGUUCAAAAAUUGAUAUUUUUUUCUCAGAUUGUAAGUGUGAGAUAUGUUUUUAGUCAUUAAAAUUUUGGAAGACAUGUAUUAAUCCAAACAUUUAUGUUCAUUGUUUUUUGUAAUAUAAAAUAAACCCUAUAUUGUCUACCGCUAAUCAAUAAUAUCAAAAAUACGAAUUUUGCGAAAUCGGGUUUUGCAAUACAUUAAAGCCCAUAUGCCUAAAUAAAGAAUAACGAAUUUGGGGUUA